UCUGCCUCACUGCCCUGCAACACCACCAGCUGCCGUAGAACUGCCUGCCUCACUGCCCUGCAACACCACCAGCACUUUUGGAGAUUCGGCAUCGGCUCCUCUAUCUAGUCGGCACCUCCCGCUCCCUCCAGAUUCUUCAAGUAAGUUAUGAAUAAAGGGAUAUUCCUUGCUUUUCAUUGGCGGCAGGGGACUGAAAGGGAAUGGCUGUCUCCAUUUGAACAUCUGCUGCCCUGAUGGAGGGGAGAGUGGAGCUGAAGGAGUGAGUAGAAGAGCUUGAGCACAAGUGCAUCCAAGGGGAGACAGGCCGUGCUGCUUUUCCAUGCCCGUAUGUGCCAGUGGGGGGCACUGAGCAUACAGCCUUCAUGCCAUGAUGGGGAAUGGUGGGAGGAUCCCAAGAAUGCCCAUUAGAACCUCAGUCUGUGAGCCCAGUAUGAGAAUGCUCUGGGGAGCAGCCAUACCCGCACAAGGAGUUCUCCCACUCCCUCCUCUUC